CGCCGGACCCUCUCCUCGCCGCAUCGUCGUCUUCGCAGUGACACCGGCGCCCUUGUCCGUCGUGCUGGUUCCUCCGGUCCCCGACCAUCGCGUUGGCAUCUUCGCAGAUUUGCGUAUCGAGUUGUUCGUCUUCGGUUCCAAGAUCAAGUGCAUCCAAGAUGGACAAGUCCGGCAAAGUGAUUGCAAAGUGGGAUAGUAGAGCAACAAAAAUUUACACAGAAAUUUGUGUAGAAGAGGUCAAUGCUCGGAACAGGCCACAACAAUUUCUAAAUGCAGAAGGGUAUGCUAACCUCAUAAGGAAGUUUAAGGAACGCACUGGUCGCACUUACACCAGGGAUCAAAUGAAGAAUAGGUGGGAUUCGUUGAAGAGAAUGUUCACCCAGUGGAAAACUCUUAAUGAAAGGGCUACAGGUCUUGGUC